rnacentral:rRNA from 1 species
UACGUAGGGUGCAAGCGUUAAUCGGAAUUACUGGGCGUAAAGCGUGCGCAGGCGGUUGUGCAAGACCGAUGUGAAAUCCCCGGGCUUAACCUGGGAAUGGCAUUGGUGACUGCACGGCUAGAGUGUGUCAGAGGGAGGUAGAAUUCCACGUGUAGCAGUGAAAUGCGUAGAGAUGUGGAGGAAUACCGAUGGCGAAGGCAGCCCCCUGGGAUAACACUGACGCUCAUGCACGAAAGCGUGGGGAGCAAACAGG